CGUAGGGGCGAAGCGUUGUCCGGAUUUACUGGGCGUAAAGAGCGUGUAGGCGGCCAAACAGGUCCGUUGUGAAACUAGGAGGCUCAACCUCCAGACGUCGACGGAAACCGUGUGGCUAGAGUCCGGAAGAGGAGAGUGGAAUUCCUGGUGUAGCGGUGAAAUGCGCAGAUAUCAGGAAGAACACCAAUGGCGAAGGCAGCUCUCUGGGACGGUACUGACGCUGAGACGCGAAAGCGUGGGGAGCGAACAGGAUU
rnacentral:rRNA from 1 species